GCUUACAAUCCGUCAGAGCCUUAACUUUGUUGGGGUGAUGGCGUGCCUUUUGAAGAAUGAGCCUGCGAGUUAUGGUGUGUGGCGAGGUUAACCCGUGUGGGGUAGUCGUAGCGAAAGCGAAUCCUAAUUGAGGGUGUUGUUAGUGGCAUGUCCUGGACCCGAAGCGGGGUGAUCUACCCAUGGCCAGUGUGAAGCGAUGGUAAGACGUCGUGGAGGCGCGAACCCACUUAGGUUGAAAACUGAGGGGAUGAGCUGUGGGUAGGGGUGAAAGGCCAAUCAAACUCCGUGAUAGCUGGUUCUCCCCGAAAUGCAUUUAGGUGCAGCGUCGCGUGUUUCUUGCCGGAGGUAGAGCACUGGAUGGCCGAUGGGCCCUACAAGGUUACUGACGUCAGCCAAACUCCGAAUGCCGGUAAGUUGUAAGCAUGGCAGUGAGACUGUGGGGGAUAAGCUUCAUAGUCGAAAGGGAAACAGCCCAGAUCGCCGGCUAAGGCCCCUAAGGGUGUACUAAGUGGAAAAGGAUGUGGGAUCGCGAAGACAGCCAGGAGGUUGGCUUAGAAGCAGCCAUCCUUGAAAGAGUGCGUAAUAGCUCACUGGUCGAGUGGUUCUGCGCCGACAAUGUAGUGGGGCUUAAGUACACCGCCGAAGCCGCGGCAAUACAUCUUUGUGGUGUGUUGGGUAGGGGAGCGUCGUGCACUUGCGUUGAAGCAGGCGUGUGAAUUCCUGUGGAGUGUGUGCGAGUGAGAAUGCAGGCAUGAGUAACGAUUGAUAAGUGAGAAUCUUAUCCGCCGGAUGACUAAGGGUUCCUGGGUCAAGUUCGUCUUCCCAGGGUGAGUCGGGGCCUAAGGCGAGGCCGACAGGCGUAGUCGAUGGAUAACGGGUUGAUAUUCCCGUACCCGUGUAUGCGCGACCAUGAUGAAUCAGUGAUACUAACCACCCAAAAACCACAUGUCAGCACUUGUGUUGGUGUGUGGUGGAUGCGUGGGACCUGAUCUGGUAGUAGUCAAGUGAUGGGGUGACGCAGGAAGGUAGCCAGGCCACUUAUUGGAUUGUGGUGUAAGCGUGUGGGGUGGGGUAUAGGUAAAUCCGUACCCUAUUAAACCUGAGGCGUGAUGCGUACCCACGUAGUGUGGGGAUGUUGGUGAUCCUAUGCUGUCGAGAAAAGCCUCUAGCGAUGUGCAUAUUCGGCCCGUACCCGAAACCGACACAGGUAGUCAGGUAGAGAAUACUAAGGCGAUCGGGUGAACUGUGGUUAAGGAACUCGGCAAAUUGCCCCCGUAACUUCGGGAGAAGGGGGGCCAUGGCUGGUG
rnacentral:rRNA from 1 species